UAGGCGGCGUGUCAAGUCAAUUGUGAAAUCUCCGAGCUUAACUCGGAACGGUCAAUUGAUACUGAUGUGCUAGAGUGCAGAAGGGGCAAUCGGAAUUCUUGGUGUAGCGGUGAAAUGCGUAGAUAUCAAGAGGAACACCUGAGGUGAAGACGGGUUGCUGGGCUGACACUGACGCUGAGGCGCGAAAGCUAGGGUAGCAAACGGGAUUAGAUACCCCGGUAGUCCUAGCCCUAAACGAUGAAUACUUGGUGUCUGGAGUUUUAAUUCUCCGGGUGCCGUCGCUAACGUUUUUAGUAUUCCGCCUGGGGAGUACGCACGCAAGUGUGAAACUCAAAGGAAUUGACGGGGGCCCGCACAAGCAGCGGAGCGUGUGGUUUAAUUCGACGCAACGCGAAGAACCUUACCUAGACUUGACAUGCACGUGGUAAGACCUGGAAACAGGGAUGACCCGCAAGGGAGCGUGCACAGAUGCUGCACGGCUGUCGUCAGCUCGUGCCGUGAGGUGUUGGGUUAAGUCCCGCAACGAGCGCAACCCUCGCUGCCAGUUACCAUGUCUGGCGGGACCGCCGGGUCCAACCCGGAGGAAGGUGGGGAUGACGUCAAGUCAGCAUGGCUCUUACGUCUAGGGCUACACACACGCUACAAUGGCCGGUACAAAGGGCUGCGAUGGGGUGACCCGGAGCGAAUCCCGCCAAAGCCGGUCUCAGUUGGGAUUGCAGGCUGCAACUCGCCUGCAUGAACGAGGAGUUGCUAGUAACCGCAGGUCAGCAC
rnacentral:rRNA from 1 species